GGGUGGGUGGCCGAGCGGUCGAAGGCGGCAGUCUUGAAAACUGCUGUACCCAUACGGGUACCGGGGGUUCGAAUCCCUCCCCACCCG
rnacentral:tRNA from 1 species